rnacentral:rRNA from 1 species
AGAGUUUGAUCAUGGCUCAGAUUGAACGCUGGCGGCAGGCUUAACACAUGCAAGUCGAGCGGUAGCACAGGAGAGCUUGCUCCCUGGGUGACGAGCGGCGGACGGGUGAGUAAUGUCUGGGAAACUGCCUGAUGGAGGGGGAUAACUACUGGAAACGGUAGCUAAUACCGCAUAACGUCGCAAGACCAAAGAGGGGGACCUUCGGGCCUCUUGCCAUCAGAUGUGCCCAGAUGGGAUUAGCUAGUAGGUGGGGUAAUGGCUCACCUAGGCGACGAUCCCUAGCUGGUCUGAGAGGAUGACCAGCCACACUGGAACUGAGACACGGUCCAGACUCCUACGGGAGGCAGCAGUGGGGAAUAUUGCACAAUGGGCGCAAGCCUGAUGCAGCCAUGCCGCGUGUGUGAAGAAGGCCUUCGGGUUGUAAAGCACUUUCAGCGAGGAGGAAGGUGGUGAGCUUAAUACGUUCAUCAAUUGACGUUACUCGCAGAAGAAGCACCGGCUAACUCCGUGCCAGCAGCCGCGGUAAUACGGAGGGUGCAAGCGUUAAUCGGAAUUACUGGGCGUAAAGCGUGCGCAGGCGGUUAUGUAAGACAGAUGUGAAAUCCCCGGGCUCAACCUGGGAACUGCAUUUGUGACUGCAUGGCUAGAGUACGGUAGAGGGGGAUGGAAUUCCGCGUGUAGCAGUGAAAUGCGUAGAUAUGCGGAGGAACACCGAUGGCGAAGGCAAUCCCCUGGACCUGUACUGACGCUCAUGCACGAAAGCGUGGGGGAGCAAGCANGAUUAGAUACCCUGGUAGUCCACGCCCUAAACGAUGUCAACUGGUUGUUGGGAAUUAGUUUUCUCAGUAACGAAGCUAACGCGUGAAGUUGACCCGCCUGGGGAGUACGGCCGCAAGGUUGAAACUCAAGGAAUUGACGGGGACCCGCACAAGCGGUGGAUGAUGUGGGUUUAAUUUCGAUGCAACGCGAAAAACCUUACCCACCUUUGACAUGGCCAGGAAGUUUCAGA